GGAACCUCAAGGAGUGAAAAUAGCCUUCCUUAAUGAUGACCCAAAGUACAUUUGAAAGGAAUAAAUGCGCAAGAGAAGCUGGAAAGCAAAAGAGUGAGGAAGAUGAAGAAGAUGCUGAAAGCCUGCAAAAUGUGAAAAUCAUUCCUGUUUCUGUGAUAAAUCUGGCACCUGAGAACACCUGCAGUACCUCAUGGAAAGCUUCCUCAUCAUCGGGUAUUUUACAAGUGUUAUACAAUACGCACUUUUAAGUUCCAUUUUAAUUUUCACCUGAUUUUUUUUUUUCCUUUAGGCCAAGAACAUCUUAACUGUGCUGUAGAUUUAUGGAUUCAGAAGCUGGAGGCCUGGACAGUUCAAAAUAAGGCAAGAGGAAUGAGAGAGGUCUGGGAGAACGGAAUCAC
rnacentral:lncRNA from 1 species